AUUCAAUUUCUCUUUUUUAAUAUUCACAAAGUUAAUUACUAAUCAAGGUAAUGAAAAAAGUGAAAUACAUACUAUGCUACUUAAAGGGUGUAGCCUACCUUUUCAUAAAAAAUUUAUUUUAUUUUUUCAGAAAAAAAAAAUUAAAAAAUUAAAAAAUUAAAAACUGAGUAUAGCCGUGCGGCUAUACUAUUUUUAAUAUAAAAAGGAGGACAGGCGCCACGUGUCUACUUAAAAAGAAUAUAUAUAUUAAAAAAGCACAGAGUAUAGCCGUGCGGCUGUACCUUUUUAAAAAAAAAAAAAAAAAGAGGAGGAGCCUGCAGCGAUUAGGCGCCACGUGUCCCAAAAAGGUAUAGCCGCCCGGCUAGACUAGUUUUUCAAAAAGAAAAAUAUAGUACAGCCGCACGGCUAUACUAUGUAAAUAUAGUAUUUAAUAAAUAAAUAAAAGAAAGCAUUAGCUUGUACUUUAUAGAUAUUAAUUUGCUAGUUUAAACAUAUCCAAAGUAGAUAUUAAUAGGCCACUAUACAAUAUUUUAAUAUAAUUUUUAUAACUUACAUUAUUCUUAUUCAAUAAUAUGUGAAAAUUAUUUGUAUAAUACGUGAACUUUGUGUGUCUUAAUGAAAAUUUUGUAAAAAGUAUGUGUAUUAAGCAUUACAAAUACGUACAAACAUGUACAAUACGACUAUUGUACGUUUGCUUUUUAAAAAAAGGAGAUGCGUAUAGAACACGAAUGUAUUAUUGGAAACUAUGUACGUACGUACGUACACACACACAUAUAUAUUACGACUAAUUAAAGUAAUUCAAAAAGGAUAAGAUAUUACUUAAUUACAUAUAUUAAAUGGAGGAAGUUGGCCAAAAGAAAAAGUAAAGAAACUAAUUUUAAAAUUUUAAAAUUUAUACUUUUCAAAAAAAAAAAAAAAAAAACACAUGAACACUUCUCCCGACGAAAUUUCGUCGGCAAGGCUCUAUGCCGACAAAAUUUGCCGGAUUAGGUUUCCCCCGACGAAAAUAUCUUUGCCGACGAAAUUUCGUCGCGAGAGGUCUUAUUUUUGAAAAAUAAAUAUAAACUUAGGAUGUUUAGGUUAAUUAAUUUUUAAAAAUUUUAUUUUUAGUAACUACAUAAUGGGCAUUGGAGAUUUAAUUAGUUGAAUUAGAAAUUAUAUUUUAAUUAUUAUUUAUUUAAUGACUGAUUAUGAUUAAAUAUUUUAAUUAACAUCAUGAAUUAUAUUACUUAAUGAAUAGUAAUUCAAUUUCUCUUUUUUAAUAUUCACAAAGUUAAUUACUAAUCAAGGUAAUGAAAAAAGUGAAAUACAUACUAUGCUACUUAAAGGGUGUAGCCUACCUUUUCAUAAAAAAUUUAUUUUAUUUUUUCAGAAAAAAAAAAAUUAAAAAAUUAAAAAAUUAAAAACUGAGUAUAGCCGUGCGGCUAUACUAUUUUUAAUAUAAAAAGGAGGACAGGCGCCACGUGUCUACUUAAAAAGAAUAUAUAUAUUAAAAAAGCACAGAGUAUAGCCGUGCGGCUGUACCUUUUUAAAAAAAAAAAAAAAAGAGGAGGAGCCUGCAGCGAUUAGGCGCCACGUGUCCCAAAAAGGUAUAGCCGCCCGGCUAGACUAGUUUUUCAAAAAGAAAAAUAUAGUACAGCCGCACGGCUAUACUAUGUAAAUAUAGUAUUUAAUAAAUAAAUAAAAGAAAGCAUUAGCUUGUACUUUAUAGAUAUUAAUUUGCUAGUUUAAACAUAUCCAAAGUAGAUAUUAAUAGGCCACUAUACAAUAUUUUAAUAUAAUUUUUAUAACUUACAUUAUUCUUAUUCAAUAAUAUGUGAAAAUUAUUUGUAUAAUACGUGAACUUUGUGUGUCUUAAUGAAAAUUUUGUAAAAAGUAUGUGUAUUAAGCAUUACAAAUACGUACAAACAUGUACAAUACGACUAUUGUACGUUUGCUUUUUAAAAAAAGGAGAUGCGUAUAGAACACGAAUGUAUUAUUGGAAACUAUGUACGUACGUACGUACACACACACAUAUAUAUUACGACUAAUUAAAGUAAUUCAAAAAGGAUAAGAUAUUACUUAAUUACAUAUAUUAAAUGGAGGAAGUUGGCCAAAAGAAAAAGUAAAGAAACUAAUUUUAAAAUUUUAAAAUUUAUACUUUUCAAAAAAAAAAAAAAAAAAACACAUGAACACUUCUCCCGACGAAAUUUCGUCGGCAAAGAUCUAUGCCGACAAAAUUUGCCGGAUUAGGUUUCCCCCGACGAAAAUAUCUUUGCCGACGAAAUUUCGUCGCGAGAGGUCUUAUUUUUGAAAAAUAAAUAUAAACUUAGGAUGUUUAGGUUAAUUAAUUUUUAAAAAUUUUAUUUUUAGUAACUACAUAAUGGGCAUUGGAGAUUUAAUUAGUUGAAUUAGAAAUUAUAUUUUAAUUAUUAUUUAUUUAAUGACUGAUUAUGAUUAAAUAUUUUAAUUAACAUCAUGAAUUAUAUUACUUAAUGAAUAGUAAUUCAAUUUCUCUUUUUUAAUAUUCACAAAGUUAAUUACUAAUCAAGGUAAUGAAAAAAGUGAAAUACAUACUAUGCUACUUAAAGGGUGUAGCCUACCUUUUCAUAAAAAAUUUAUUUUAUUUUUUCAGAAAAAAAAAAAUUAAAAAAUUAAAAAAUUAAAAACUGAGUAUAGCCGUGCGGCUAUACUAUUUUUAAUAUAAAAAGGAGGACAGGCGCCACGUGUCUACUUAAAAAGAAUAUAUAUAUUAAAAAAGCACAGAGUAUAGCCGUGCGGCUGUACCUUUUUAAAAAAAAAAAAAAAAAGAGGAGGAGCCUGCAGCGAUUAGGCGCCACGUGUCCCAAAAAGGUAUAGCCGCCCGGCUAGACUAGUUUUUCAAAAAGAAAAAUAUAGUACAGCCGCACGGCUAUACUAUGUAAAUAUAGUAUUUAAUAAAUAAAUAAAAGAAAGCAUUAGCUUGUACUUUAUAGAUAUUAAUUUGCUAGUUUAAACAUAUCCAAAGUAGAUAUUAAUAGGCCACUAUACAAUAUUUUAAUAUAAUUUUUAUAACUUACAUUAUUCUUAUUCAAUAAUAUGUGAAAAUUAUUUGUAUAAUACGUGAACUUUGUGUGUCUUAAUGAAAAUUUUGUAAAAAGUAUGUGUAUUAAGCAUUACAAAUACGUACAAACAUGUACAAUACGACUAUUGUACGUUUGCUUUUUAAAAAAAGGAGAUGCGUAUAGAACACGAAUGUAUUAUUGGAAACUAUGUACGUACGUACGUACACACACACAUAUAUAUUACGACUAAUUAAAGUAAUUCAAAAAGGAUAAGAUAUUACUUAAUUACAUAUAUUAAAUGGAGGAAGUUGGCCAAAAGAAAAAGUAAAGAAACUAAUUUUAAAAUUUUAAAAUUUAUACUUUUCAAAAAAAAAAAAAAAAAAACACAUGAACACUUCUCCCG
rnacentral:lncRNA from 1 species